GGUGGUUCAAAGGCAAUCCAACAGCCAGAAUUAAUUUAUACGAGUAUAAUAUGAUUUCUAUGGAUUUUAGGACUCCUUUUGUAACCAGAAAAAAAUGAAAAAUUUACCUAUAAAUAGAGGACCUAGGAAUAAAUGUAAAGACAAGAAAAAAAUUAAAAAAAUAAGAAAAAAAUAGAGAAAAAAAUUAAGGAGCUUUAGGGAUC
rnacentral:lncRNA from 1 species